rnacentral:rRNA from 1 species
GUUGCGGACAGUGUCUGGUGGGUAGUUUGACUGGGGCGGUCUCCUCCUAAAGAGUAACGGAGGAGCACGAAGGUUGGCUAAUCCUGGUCGGACAUCAGGAGGUUAGUGCAAUGGCAUAAGCCAGCUUGACUGCGAGCGUGACGGCGCGAGCAGGUGCGAAAGCAGGUCAUAGUGAUCCGGUGGUUCUGAAUGGAAGGGCCAUCGCUCAACGGAUAAAAGGUACUCCGGGGAUAACAGGCUGAUACCGCCCAAGAGUUCAUAUCGACGGCGGUGUUUGGCACCUCGAUGUCGGCUCAUCACAUCCUGGGGCUGAAGUAGGUCCCAAGGGUAUGGCUGUUCGCCAUUUAAAGUGGUACGCGAGCUGGGUUUAGAACGUCGUGAGACAGUUCGGUCCCUAUCUGCCGUGGGCGCUGGAGAACUGAGGGGGGCUGCUCCUAGUACGAGAGGACCGGAGUGGACGCAUCACUGGUGUUCGGGUUGUCAUGCCAAUGGCACUGCCCGGUAGCUAAAUGCGGAAGAGAUAAGUGCUGAAAGCAUCUAAGCACGAAACUUGCCCCGAGAUGAGUUCUCCCUGAGACUUAGAGUCUCCUGAAGGAACGUUGAAGACGACGACGUUGAUAGGCCGGGUGUGUAAGCGCAGCGAUGCGUUGAGCUAACCGGUACUAAUGAACCGUGAGGCUUAACCUU